rnacentral:rRNA from 1 species
GACGUAGGGCGCGAGCGUUGUCCGGAUUUAUUGGGCGUAAAGAGCUCGUAGGCGGUCCGUCACGUCGGGAGUGAAAACUCGGGGCUCAACCCCGAGCCUGCUUCCGAUACGGGCGGACUAGAGGUAGGUAGGGGAGAACGGAAUUCCUGGUGUAGCGGUGGAAUGCGCAGAUAUCAGGAGGAACACCGGUGGCGAAGGCGGUUCUCUGGGCCUUACCUGACGCUGAGGAGCGAAAGCGUGGGGAGCGAACAGG